UUUCCGAUAUUUUCUGCUAUA
rnacentral:piRNA from 1 species